rnacentral:rRNA from 1 species
AACGAACGCUGGCGGCAGGCCUAACACAUGCAAGUCGAACGCCCUAGCAAUAGGGAGUGGCAGACGGGUGAGUAACACGUGGGAACCUUCCCUAUAGUACGGAAUAGCCCAGGGAAACUUGGAGUAAUACCGUAUACGCCCGAGAGGGGAAAGAUUUAUCGCUAUAGGAUGGGCCCGUGUCGGAUUAGCUAGUUGGUGAGGUAAUGGCUCACCAAGGCAACGAUCCGUAGCUGGUUUGAGAGAAUGACCAGCCACACUGGGACUGAGACACGGCCCAGACUCCUACGGGAGGCAGCAGUGGGGAAUCUUGGACAAUGGGCGCAAGCCUGAUCCAGCCAUGCCGCGUGAGUGAUGAAGGCCUUAGGGUUGUAAAGCUCUUUUGGCGGGGACGAUAAUGACGGUACCCGCAGAAUAAGUCCCGGCUAACUUCGUGCCAGCCGCCGCCGUAACAC